rnacentral:lncRNA from 1 species
AACCUGUGUCCUCAUGGAUACUAGUCAUGUUCACUGAGCCACAAUGAGAACUCUCUAACUUUGUAUUAUUUUUAAAACUGUCUGUGGAUGUCUUCACACAAUAUAGAGAUAACUUUCAAUAUCAGAGCAAAAGUGAUAUUUUCUUCUUAUGGUAUGUUUAGCCUCACUAUGUAGUAGCUAUAUCACAAUUUUGGCCACAGAGGACACCUGGACAUUGACAUAAUUGUCAAAGAAGCUUUUUAUAUUGUACUGAGAUUGGAUUAAGGCCAAUGUUUCUUACCUAUUUCACAUGAUGUUUUAAGAACCUGCCACCAAGGCCAGGGAGAUAUAAUUAGCUUUAUUCUUUGAAAUCACAAGCAAUAUUAAUUCUUAGCUCCUGAGAAUGAGAGAAAAUUACUAUUUACCACAAAAUUUAUUUAUAUUUUAGAAAAGUUCAUUGAAUUUAAUUGCUACCUGAUUUCUGUUUUCCUUCAUGAAGGAGUGCCAGAUAUGAUAAGGAUCCAAUAAGUCAAAAGCUACAUUCAGCCUCAUUUUUUCUUUUGUGUUAACAAAACCUCAUAAAGGCAGAUGAAUAGCCCAGGCCAAAUUCUUUCCAUGAUCAGCCAAAGAUAAACACUGUGCUUUAUCAGCUGCAAAAGAAAUUCUUCAUUUUUAUCAGAUUAUAGUUGCUUAGUUUGGGAAAAAAAUGAUGGCUCCAUUUGACAUUUUUUUUUUAAUAUUUUUAAGCAGAGAAAAACUACACCUCACAAUUAUUUCCCUCCCCCAUAAAUCUUGAGUUAAGUAUCAAAUGCUAAGUCUUGGCUAACAAAAGGAAUAAAGAUGAAAGUAUAGAUUCUAUAUAAGCUAUCAGAAAUAUGAAUGAGAUCAUAAAACUAAAUUUUAUUAUAAUAAUUUUAAAUAUCAUAAAAUAUUUGUAUCCCAAGUUUAUACCCAACUUACCUGAUAUAAUGCAUUUUUACUAACUCAUUUUAAUUUUCCCCAGAAUUCAGUGCAUUGUGUUCUUUACAGACCCCUCAGAUCCUGUAUCUCUUACCCUUAAAUUCACUGUAAUCCCAAUUUUUUUUUAAUUUUAUAUUUUUAUACCAGUCAUCUGAGAAGCUUAUAUUUUACUGUCCUGAUAUUUAACUUUUGACAUGGAUCAUUCUAUUUCUUUGAAUGGACUGUAUUAUUCUCAAGACUGGAAUCUAUGUUAGCCAAGUGCACCAUUUUGCACUUGUUCUACAAAUGAACAAAUUACACUAAAAGCAGUGAACAUAUUUGUGAAAAUUUGUAUAUCAUGGUAUUGGGGACAUAGUAUUAGAACUCAAGUUGCCUGAACCAUGAAGCCAGAUUCUUUCUCCUUUAAUUACCUGUCUCCAUUGUGUUUCACUUCAAGGUUUUGGUCAAUUUGAGGAAGCCUGAAAAGCUAUUUAACCUACACAAUGCCUUAAUCUCUCUCUCUUUCUUUUUCUUUGCAUUUAAGAGGAAGUUAGUGGAUGAAUUCAUUAUCUUCUGGAAAAAUUUAAUAAUAGAAUUUCAGGUAUUUUGUUAUCAGGAAGAUGGUUCUUGUGAACUGGAGAUUGAUGUAUGUUAUCUGCCUCUACACAGAUUGAAUCAUGAGCCACUGAAACCACCAACCCUCAACACCUCCUUGAAAGGAGCUCAGAUCUGGAGUGAGGCAAACUAUGCUCUGGGAAAACUGGCAUAACAGGUUUUAAGAUAGAUGUUUUAUGAGCACAAUUCUUGCAUCUCCUCAUAUCUAGGAAAGCAUUAAAAUCCUUCGUGUUGACAGCUGCUCCCUUAUCACUAGCAGUAAUCUUCAUGAGACUACCAAUAAACUUCUACAGAACAUGUGCUUGGUUGCAUGUACUUCACACCUUCACCAAAAUUACAUAUAUACUGACAUUCCCCCUUACCUCUUUGGAAUGAUUUUUAGAGCUAUAAGAAAUGCUGCCUCUAGUCCCCAUUUUGCUCAAAAUAAAACUUAACUCUCAAAUUUUAGGUGGUGAAUUUUUUUAUGUUUACAGUUUUGAUAAAAUUGGACCUUUCUCAAAUAUCAUAAGUUGUAUAAAAAUGUAAAUAGCUGCCAGCUCUGCUUAUGUAAAGCCAAUAUCUUCAGGGAGUGUGCUGGGAUAGUUUUAAUACUAUCAUCCUAUAAAACUGGGCUCUUCUGCCCUCAGGGAUUCAUGCUGGACAUAAAAUAGAUGUCACCUAUGUCUUGUUCACCAUUAUUUCUCCUAACGCUGACAGGUACAUUCUGGGUUUUGAAUCCUUACAUUUUGACAUUAUUCAAUCUAAUAUAGUGAAAGAGAAACCAUAAAGAUAAAAAUAAAUUCUCUAUUUAUCAAUCAAGUGGUAUUAAAGCAAUAGGUAUAAUUCUAAUUAUUAAAUCUAAUUGAUGAUUUGGUGAUAUUAGUAAUUUUUAAAUAUGCACAAUAAUUCCCUGUCUAAUCACCUUCUAUGGUUUUGUAAACAUAAUCUGUGCUUGAGAUCUAUUCAACAAUGUAAAAGAAACACAAAGGAUUGUAAAGAUAGCAUGAGAAAACACCCAGUCUCUAGGGAAAGAUAAAUGUGGGAAAAUCUCAUUGCUGUAACAUAUAUAAGAAAGAUGAAAAAGAAAGGUGUUAUACACAAUUGUGUAUAUGUAUAAUAAAACAAGAUUAGUUCAAAUAGGAGUUAUGAAUUAAAAUAAUUAUUGAUAAUAAAUAUUUCUUAUAAGACAAGGGUCUUAGCUGUCACUACUAGUCAACUUCUUUCCAAUUUCUUUUUAUAAUGAUUUUCUUUAAUAUCACCAUUAUUUGUAGUAAUGGCAAUAAUAACAGUUAUAGUUAUAUUAUUGAUAGAUGGCUUAUUUGGAGCUUACUCUGUAGCCUAGCACUGAUCUAAGUGCUUUACACAUUUUAAAAGAUUUAAUUUUCUACAACAAACCUAUGUACUAAGUACUCUAUUUGCCCCAUUUCAUUAUGAAGAAACUAAGGCAAAGAGUUAUUAAGCAACUUGCUUAUAGUCACACAGCUUUUAAAAUUCAUGAUCUUCACCCAAAAUAUAACAUUGCAUCUUUAAUCUAUCUACUGUUUCCUUUUUUAUACAUAUUUAUUGGAUGUGUACCUAAGCAUUUAUUUUUAUUCAUAUCCUGAUAGCCAAAAAAAUUGAAGAAAAGUAAACACCAGCUUUCAGUGAACUUAGAACUUACAGUCAGAUGUCAAAUAAUUAUCAUAUAAAUGGUGUGUUUUUCACCAUUAUCUAAUUAUAAAAUAGAAUCGAGUGUUUUUCUAGGAACCACUUUUUGCAUGUAGGAGCUCUUGCCAACUUGGUUGCAGUAAAUUAGCCUAUUCAAAUAUUUUCCAAGUUUCUGUAUGUUCACAAAUGGACCUCUAAUGUCUAUAUAUUUCUGCUACCUCCUAUUGUUACUAUAGCCCUCUUAUGAUUAUUUUAUUCUGGACACAAGUAUCCUUUAGUUAUCACUAUUGUGCCUUUUACACCUUAACCUACACAAUAGGCCUAGAAUAACCAGAUAAUUCUAUAAAUCUGACAACUUUUGGUAAAAUCUUUCUUAGGAAAGAAAGUGUAAUAUAAAGAAGUAUUAAUCGCUAAUUGAAAUGGUAGUAGUAUUUGCACUUUCCAAGGCAGGAAUGUAGUAUUUCUAGCCAGUAUUCUACUUCAUGCAAACUCGGUUUACACCUACCAGAAAUUCCCAGAAUCCAUCUCAGAAGGAAGACAAUGUUUCUGCUUCACCCUUGCCCAAGGCCCAUUUUCCAUCUUCAGGUGUCCUUUAAUAGAAUCAAUUCCCUCUGCUGCUGUGGAAC